rnacentral:lncRNA from 1 species
AUGGCUGCAAUCACCAUCUGCAGUAUAAAUUGUAUUCAUGUAUUUUCCUCAAUAGGCCAAAUGAAAAAGUACUUUAUAUAAUUCUUAUUAGCACGAUAGCGUGACCUUUUAAAACCAGCAAUCUUUUCUUACAAAAGUGAAACUAACAGUUUUCUUUGAAAAUCCAUUGAAGCAUUAGAUACCUAUAAGCAUUUCUUAUAAAUGAGUCCUUCUAAAGCCAUUUUCAAAGUGAUUCCGCGAUUUGGCUAAUGGUAAUUAAAAUCAAUAGAAAUUUCCGCUGAAAUAUUUUAUUCUGGAAGUCAUUUUUCAAACAUACACUGUUCAGCAUCUCACUAAAAACACGAGUUUUGAAUGCAAAAAGGCAUUAGGAAACCUAAAACAUUGGCCAGAGAUACAUUCAGAUUAAACAGAUGAAUAAAGGGCGGGGCAGGAAGGGAGAGGGUAACAUAGGGGAGGGGAGGCAGGAGAGGUGAGCAGACACCCACAUAAUGGGUUGGCCAAGAAGCUUACCGGACUUAAAAGAAGACACUUGGAAGCCAUCCACUAUUUCCAAGUCCCGCUUUUGAGUUCCAGUCCUACCAUUUACUUAGAAGAUAUUCCAACCUGCUGCUCUCAGUCUUUUCAUUUGUAAAAUUCAGACAGUUUUACGCAACCGUUUGAUGAGAUCAUGUAUAUAUUAUAAAACUGCUCUAUAAACAAACACUAAGGAGAAA